GGGCGGUUAGCUCAGCGGUAGAGCAUUCGCUUCACACGCGAGAGGUCGUAGGUUCAAAUCCUAUACCGCCCACCA
rnacentral:tRNA from 1 species